AGUGAACGCUGGCGGUAGGCCUAACACAUGCAAGUCGAACGGCAGCACAGUAAGAGCUUGCUCUUACGGGUGGCGAGUGGCGGACGGGUGAGGAAUACAUCGGAAUCUACUUUUUCGUGGGGGAUAACGUAGGGAAACUUACGCUAAUACCGCAUACGACCUACGGGUGAAAGCAGGGGAUCUUCGGACCUUGCGCGAUUGAAUGAGCCGCUGUCGGAUUAGCUAGUUGGCGGGGUAAAGGCCCACCAAGGCGACGAUCCGUAGCUGGUCUGAGAGGAUGAUCAGCCACACUGGAACUGAGACACGGUCCAGACUCCGACGGGAGGCAGCAGUGGGGAAUAUUGGACAGUGGGCGCAAGCCUGAUCCAGCCAUACCGCGUGGGUGAAGAAGGCCUUCGGGUUGUAAAGCCCUUUUGUUGGGAAAGAAAAGCAGCAGGUUAAUACCCCGCUGUGCUGACGGUACCCAAAGAUAAGCACCGGCUAACUUCGUG
rnacentral:rRNA from 1 species